UUUGAAGUGUGGAACACUCCAAAGCAGAGCAACAGAUCCAUGGGCACACGUGGGAAAAGGAGCUCAUGCUUAAACGAGUCCAUCGGGUCUAUUCAGGAGAGAGGAUUCUCUUCCCACUGACAUCUGUGAAUGACUCCAUGUGUGGACAGGGAAGCUCACUGCUGUGCAGAGGACCCACGCCCCACUUACACACAACAAAGCAGGUCAGAGAAAUUAACGCUGAGAACACUCUCUCUUACUUUGUUGUUGGAGCAAGAAAAAAGAAGACUUUUUCCCUUGAAACGGAUGAGCAAGAACUGUAGAGGUGCUAACUUUUUGCUGUUUCUGCCUUGGGAAACACGGAAUGAUUCCCAGACUGAUCCACAGAUGACAGAUCAUGGGCUGUGCUGGAAAUCUCAAGAGAGCAGCAUUUCCUGGAGAGUGGAAGGAAUAUCUGUCUUCAGAACAGCCAUCUGCAAAGUGUCAUGCUGGUUUUGA
rnacentral:lncRNA from 1 species